GAUGAACGCUGGCGGCGUGCCUAACACAUGCAAGUCGAACGAAGCACUUUCUUUUGAUUCUUCGGAUGAAGAAGACUGUGACUGAGUGGCGGACGGGUGAGUAACGCGUGGGCAACCUGCCCUGUACAGGGGGAUAACAGUUAGAAAUGACUGCUAAUACCGCAUAAGCGCACGAGGACGCAUGUUCUUGUGUGAAAAACUCCGGUGGUACAGGAUGGGCCCGCGUCUGAUUAGGUAGUUGGUGGGGCAGCGGCCUACCAAGCCGACGAUCAGUAGCCGACCUGAGAGGGUGACCGGCCACAUUGGGACUGAGACACGGCCCAAACUCCUACGGGAGGCAGCAGUGGGGAAUAUUGCACAAUGGGGGAAACCCUGAUGCAGCGACGCCGCGUGAAGGAAAAAGUAUUUCGGUAUGUAAACUUCUAUCAGCAGGGAAGAAACUGACGGU
rnacentral:rRNA from 1 species